CGAAAGCCUGACGGAGCAAGACCGCGUGGGGGAGGAAGGCUCUAGGGUUGUAAACCCCUUUUCUUUGGGAAGAACAAAAUGACGGUACCAAAGGAAUCAGCCUCGGCUAACUCCGUGCCAGCAGCCGCGGUAAUACGGAGGAUGCAAGCGUUAUCCGGAAUUAUUGGGCGUAAAGCGUCCGCAGGUGGUUUUUCAAGUCUGCUGUCAAAGACCAGAGCUCAACUCUGGGCCGGCGGUGGAAACUGGGAAACUAGAGUUCGGUAGGGGUAGCGGGAAUUCCCAGUGUAGCGGUGAAAUGCGUAGAUAUUGGGAAGAACAUCGGUGGCGAAGGCGCGCUACUGGACCGAAACUGACACUCAGGGACGAAAGCUAGGGGAGCG
rnacentral:rRNA from 1 species